UACUAAAUCCUAAUCUAAUCAUGGCGAACUAUAUAUCAUUGGAAAGUUCUAAGGCUCAAGAAUACAUAUUUGUUAAUGAUUUUGCAGAAAGAUAUAUGGGAAUCAGAGGAGUUACUACAGAUCCAAUGAAACUCCUCCAGGGCCUGAUGGAGUACUUUGCUGAGGAGCCAAAGGUGCUGCUGCUAAAUGAAGAAGAUGCCUUAAGCAGAACUGCCAAGCAACCCGUGCAUCACAGUUGUGGAUGAAGGAAGAAUCAAAAUCUCAGUGGAUCAAGUCACAGUAAUCCACAUCAUCAGCUGUUCUCUGGUUGCUGUCAGCCUAUGUGUUCCUCCUCUUCUACAUGCUGAACAUCAUGUACCUCAAAGGAACAGCCCUGUCUCUGGAUUUUAUCCAUAGGAGCCUGCUGGGUAUCAAUCCAGAACAUGGGUCUAAAUCAGAAAAAAGGGCCCAAAUCAACAUAACAUUCCACCAAAACAGGGUUUAUGUUGUCUUUUCUAACCCUUUUCUAACGGGGUUUAGAAAAUGUUUAAAACGUGUUUCUGUGAAAUUGGUCAUUUUGACCCAAACUUGUGACAAUCUAAUCAAUGAUUAAAAAAGUAAAAAAAUUUGA